AUUGAACGCUGGCGGCAUGCUUUACACAUGCAAGUCGAACGGUAACAGGCCGCAAGGUGCUGACGAGUGGCGAACGGGUGAGUAAUGCAUCGGAACGUGCCCAGUCGUGGGGGAUAACGCAGCGAAAGCUGUGCUAAUACCGCAUACGAUCUGUGGAUGAAAGCGGGGGACCGUAAGGCCUCGCGCGAUUGGAGCGGCCGAUGUCAGAUUAGGUAGUUGGUGGGGUAAAGGCUCACCAAGCCGACGAUCUGUAGCUGGUCUGAGAGGACGACCAGCCACACUGGGACUGAGACACGGCCCAGACUCCUACGGGAGGCAGCAGUGGGGAAUUUUGGACAAUGGGCGCAAGCCUGAUCCAGCAAUGCCGCGUGCAGGAAGAAGGCCUUCGGGUUGUAAACUGCUUUUGUACGGAGCGAAAAGGCUCUCUCUAAUACAGGGGGCUCAUGACGGUACCGUAAGAAUAAGCACCGGCUAACUACGUGCCAGCCGCCGCUGUAAGAC
rnacentral:rRNA from 1 species